GAUGAACGCUGGCGGCGUGCUUAACACAUGCAAGUCGAACGAUGAAGCCCAGCUUGUUGGGUGGAUUAGUGGCGAACGGGUGAGUAACACGUGAGUAACCUGCCCUUAACUCUGGGAUAAGCCUGGGAAACUGGGUCUAAUACCGGAUAGGAGCGUCCACCGCAUGGGGGGUGUUGGAAAGAUUUAUCGGUUUUGGAUGGACUCGCGGCUUAUCAGCUUGUUGGUGGGGUAAUGGCUCACCAAGGCGACGACGGGUAGCCGGCCUGAGAGGGUGACCGGCCACACUGGGACUGAGACACGGCCCAGACUCCUACGGGAGGCAGCAGUGGGGAAUAUUGCACAAUGGGCGCAAGCCUGAUGCAGCGACGCCGCGUGAGGGAUGACGGCCUUCGGGUUGUAAACCUCUUUCAGUAGGGAAGAAGCGAAAGUGACGGUACCUGCAGAAGAAGCACCGGCUAACUACGUG
rnacentral:rRNA from 1 species